CCUACGGGUGGCAACAGUGAGGAAUAUUGGUCAAUGGACGAGAGUCUGAACCAGCCAAGUAGCGUGAAGGAUGACUGCCCUAUGGGUUGUAAACUUCUUUUAUAAAGGAAUAAAACGAGGCACGUGUGCCUUUUUGCAUGUACUUUAUGAAUAAGGAUCGGCUAACUCCGUGCCAGCAGCCGCGGUAAUACGGAGGAUCCGAGCGUUAUCCGGAUUUAUUGGGUUUAAAGGGAGCGUAGAUGGGUUGUUAAGUCAGUUGUGAAAGUUUGCGGCUCAACCGUAAAAUUGCAAUUGAUACUGGCAGUCGUGAGUACAGUUGAGGUAGGCGGAAUUCGUGGUGUAGCGGUGAAAUGCUUAGAUAUCACGAAGAACUCCGAUUGCGAAGGCAGCUUACUAAACUGCCACUGACAUUGAUGCUCGAAAGUGUGGGUAUCAAACAGGAUUAGAUACCCCUGUAGUC
rnacentral:rRNA from 1 species